UCCCUGGCAGUUCAGUGGUUAGGACUUGGUACUUUCAUUGCAGUUGCCUGGGUUCAAUCCCUGGCCAGGGAA
rnacentral:tRNA from 1 species